GACUGGCUGUGGCAGGUGCCCACAGGGUGAGCAAGGAAGUCCAUGGGAAGGAGCUGGCACCCAAAAUGGGAGAUGGCACCCAAAAGCCCAAGGGGGACCCAAGGACAGGACAGCUCUAACCUUGCUCUCUGGGCAGGCACCCCCAUUUUUGCCUCGGAGUGAGACUGAGUCCUGCUGGGGAGGAGGCAGUGCCUGCUGCUGGGAGGGUGCUGGGUGGGGAUAGGUUGGGCAGGGAUUCUGGGCCCCGUGAAGCCACCCACCUCCAUGCAGUUAGAGAGCCUUUCGGAGCCACGCUGUACCCAGUCUGGUUGUGCAGCUGUGCCUGAAAAGUACUCUUAAGCCCUCAGUAUUUUCAUGUAAAUAUGUCUCUAGCCUCAUGCUAAAACCACAGAUGAUCGUGGAGGUGAACACAUGCUAAGAGGCUGAUUUUUUUUCUGAAGAUAUUUUCAUUAUUUGAUAAGGAUUUAAACAGAUUUUAACUACCUCCCUGGAUAGUUCUUUCUAAAUGUUUUAAUUAUAAGACCUUCCUGGCUUAAUAUGUUAUAUGGUGCAUAAUCAGGUUAUAUAUUUUCUAUCCUAUCUCAGCCUGAAAAAUAAGAAAAUAGGAUUAUAAUAAUACCGCUGCAGGGGCAAUUAAAUGCAGCAAUCAUGGUGUAAAGACAGUCCCCUCUCCUCUCCACUCAGGAUGGCUGAAGCUGGCUCCCCAUCCCCCAUCCCCUCCACAGGCCCUGGGUACCAGCCACGCCUGAAGAAGCCCAGAGCCCAGGGUCCUGCCCUGGUUCCGUGCAUCAGUAUACCUGUCCUCUGGGCCAGGCACCUGCUCUGCUCUGGGAUGAGAGCGUCAGCAUCCACGCAGCUCAGCUGUAUUCUCCAGGUUGCAGUCUUGGAGGCAGAAAGAGACAGAUGCAUCCCAAGGGUCCCAGCUCCUCAUCCCAGCACCUGGGGCACCUUUUGUCCACUCCCCACUGUCUUCCCCCGUCACUGCCCACCCUGUGCCUCCUGGCCCCAGUGGUGCCAGCUGCACCUAGACUGUGGAACCAGAGUCCCGGUCCCUUCCUGAAUGAUGAUGACAUGCUGGGGGACAAGAUUUCCAUGUAGUCCCCAGCACUGCCCAGAGCCCAGGUCCCAUCCCAGGUGAUGGUGAUGCCUCGGAGGACAAGCUUUCCAAGUGGUGACCAGCACUGCCCAGAGCCUGGUUCCCUUCUCAGGUAAUGAUGAUGACCCCUUGGGGGACAAGAUUUCCACGUGGUGCACAGCACCGCAGAGCCCAUUCUGUGCCAGCCAUCUCCACAGGAAACUCCUCACCCUGCUCCUGCAGCCUCCUUAACAUGGGCACCCUUCCCAGUGGGAGAAGAAUCUGAGCUUCCAAAAGUUUAAAGAACUUACCCCAGCACCCCUGAGAACCACCAGUGCUCUCUGACCCCACAGCCUCCACUUCUAAACAACUCUGACUCAUCCGUGGGCUCUGGGGGAAAACUGAGGUUUACAUAGGUGGUUCUGGGUGAGUCGCUUCUCCUGUCUAAGCCUCAGCGGGGCAUAUGAACGGCCCCCAGAGCAUCAUAAACGCUGGAGGAGAGGACUGAUGGCUGUGGAUGGACACAGCCGGUGCCUGUGCAUAGGAAGCUGUCUCUGGGGAUUGCACCUCUCGUAUUAUUGCUGUGGGGCCGAGAGCAGUGGCUGGAUGUGCGGGUCCUCGAGGCAGCCUGUCCGUGUCUUAGCCUGAGCAAUCACUGCCUCUCUGUGUCUCAUUCCGCCCGUAUAUAUAAUGGG
rnacentral:lncRNA from 1 species